UACGAAGGGGGCUAGCGUUGCUCGGAAUCACUGGGCGUAAAGGGUGCGUAGGCGGGUCUUUAAGUCAGGGGUGAAAUCCUGGAGCUCAACUCCAGAACUGCCUUUGAUACUGAAGAUCUUGAGUUCGGGAGAGGUGAGUGGAACUGCGAGUGUAGAGGUGAAAAUUCGUAGAUAUUCGCAAGAACACCAGUGGCGAAGGCGGCUCACUGGCCCGAUACUGACGCUGAGGCACGAAAAGC
rnacentral:rRNA from 1 species